CUCACACACCAGCAGCACAAUGAUGAUGUCACUGACUCUACUGCUGGCCACCCUGGGGCUCCUUGUUCAGGGUUCAUCUGGAGAAAUCGUCCUGACUCAGACUCCUAAAGCUCAGUCUGCUGUUCUUGGACAGACUGUCUCUAUCAGAUGUAAAGCCAGUUCAGGUGUUAGCAAUGAUUUGCAGUGGUAUCUUCAGAAAUCUGGAGAAGCUCCCAAACUCCUCAUUUACAACGCAGACAGUCGGUUCUCUGGAGUUUCUGAACGUUUCAGUGGGAGUCAGUCUGGAACUGACUUCACUCUGACCAUCAGUGGAGUUCAGGCUGAAGAUGCAGGAGUUUAUUACUGUCAGCAGGACAACAGCUUCCCAUUCACACUGUGA